UUCAUAUAACUAUUACUUUUUGACUGACUAUAUAUUCCAUCAAUGGCUGCCUUUUGAUUGAUGAAAUUGUAAGGAUUAAAAUCAUACAUGACCCAUUUGCUCAGCUUUAGAUUACUAAACUUUCUUUCUAACCAUUUUAACCACAGACUUGAACCAAUCUAGAUCAUGAAUCAUGAGCAAAAUUUGCACAAUCAAGCUUGUGCUCU
rnacentral:lncRNA from 1 species